rnacentral:rRNA from 1 species
CAGAUCUUGGUGGUAGUAGCAAAUAAUCGAAUGAGACCUUGGAGGACUGAAGUGGAGAAGGGUUUCGUGUGAACAGUGGUUGAUCACGAGUUAGUCGGUCCUAAGCCUAAGGCGAAAGCCGAAUAAAAAUUUAGGGUUUUAUCAAAUAAUUAAGAUAUAUAAAAAAAUACCUUAAAUUUAAAAUUAGGCGAAAGGGAAUACGGUUCCAAUUCCGUAACCCGUUGAGUAUACGUUUGUAAUAAAUCUGGUCAUUUAUGAUCAUCCCGGUAACGGAAACAAUCAUAGAGAAGCCGUCGAGAGAUAUCGGAAGAGUUUUCUUUUCUGUUUUAUAGCUGUACUACCAUGGAAGUCUUUCGAAGAGAGAUAUGGUAGAUGAGCUAGAAGAGCAUGGCAUUUACUGCUGUGUCGAUAUUUUCUCCUCGGACCUUGAAAAUCUAUGAUUGGGCCACGCAAACUUCUCAACAGGCCGUACCAAUAUCCGCAGCUGGUCUCCAAGGUGAAGAGUCUCUAGUCGAUAGAAUAAUG